GACGUAGGGCGCGAGCGUUGUCCGGAUUUAUUGGGCGUAAAGAGCUCGUAGGCGGCUUGUCGCGUCGACUGUGAAAUCCCGCGGCUCAACUGCGGGUCUGCAGUCGAUACGGGCAGGCUAGAGUUCGGUAGGGGAGACUGGAAUUCCUGGUGUAGCGGUGAAAUGCGCAGAUAUCAGGAGGAACACCGGUGGCGAAGGCGGGUCUCUGG
rnacentral:rRNA from 1 species